GUCUCAAUUGAGUUCCAAUGGGGUCGCUGUGUCCAUUUCUUUUUCUGUCUAUGUGGGCGAGUGGAGCUCCACUCUCGAACCGGAAAUACGUCACCUCCACUUGAAAACAUCAAGAUGGCAUCGCUGUGAGUUCUUCAAACUUAAACGCAGAUCAUAUGUAUAUCAAGUGUUAUCCAUCCUCAUAACACCUUCACAAAUAGAGACUGGAACUUCUGAUCACCAUCAGCUUGUCUGCUUUGGGACUGUCAGCCCAGCAAUCAGAUGAAUCAGAACAACAAAGCACAACUGUGGUCGCCCAGGCACCUUCAGCAACAAGUAAAUUGCUUUAACAUUAAUGAUAAUGCAAUAUCAGUCAUGCAAUUAAACUUGACCCAUGUGACGUAAAUGCCAGAGAUUUAACAACAUUGUCAGUC